UCCAACUGCAGUAUUGGUAUGAGGAAAAUAAUCCAAAUUCUAGUAAGAGACAAAGGUGAACUGGGUUCACUUCCUUCUUGGAAACCUUUCUGAGUAAGAUGAUACCUCCGCGUUGUCAUGCACGCUUGUCAUUAAAUAGUGUUAUCAUCACUGAGAUGUCUAGACACUGAGAACUUCCCUCAUAAAUACC